CAACCGACAGCAAAGAGGCUGUCAGCACAGAUCAAAGCAAACUAGAACCUUAAAGACUUCAUCCUCAUAAGGUAAUAGCGUAGUUUUGAUGUCAAUGGUAAUGUGGCACUAAUAUAUUAAUAACAAUAUAUUAGUAAUAAUAAAAAGAGGUAGACCAACAAACAGAGACAGGGUCAGGGGCGCUGAGUACUGUAACGGACUGAGUACCGGGACUUUGUUUUUGGGAACUGUGUCCUGCAACUUGAGGUUGAGCUUGUGGCAGCCUCAGCACUGUCGGAGCUGCUCAGGGUGCUGGAUGGGCCAUCUGUGGUGGGUCCACGUCUCUGGGCCUGGACGGGGGCAGUAGGCACAACAGGUCCUUGUCUGGGCCUCCCUCUUUCCACCGGCACGUCGCCGCGAACCCAUCUCUCUGCCUGUCCUGGGAUCGCCGUGCUUGUUAUCUGAUGAGCCUUCGGGAGCAUCCAAGGGGCCGCAACAGAGGAACCGACAGAGGGAGAACUGCCGGGGAAAUGAAGUGGAUGGAUACUCCCAGCCAGUUAAUGGUGACAUAGAAGGCAAGAUGACUCUGUAACUUCCCUGUGGCUUGGUUGCUUGUGAGAUCCGGUCCACGGCUUAUCAAAGGGGCCAGCGUCUCUCCAAGGCAGCACACCUGUGUCACGAGGAGCCGGCCAGCCCUCCCGUCCUAGUGCGAGGCAGGUACAUUGGCGCCAUCUUAUCUCUACUGAUCCCGGCCUCGCUUCUGGAUUAAAUAACUUCUGGCCGGAAUAACUUCUGUCUCUCUGUCCCCCCCGAGGAUCGCCUCCCGUCAGAGAUCCAGAGAAGACAUUAUUGCUGUCCAGAAGAGCUUCAGGCGAAGUGCUCAUCAUAGCAUCCCCAACAAGGAUUUCGAGAGCAGUGGAAAACCAGGGUGUGUUCACCAGCGAUAGUUCGCUAAAAAGAAAGAGGUUACUCCUGCCUCUUCAGAGAGAGGAAUCUUGCUGUGAUACGGCACCUUCAUCAAGCGAGUUGGCCAACAUGAUUCGAUGGAUGAGAAGGGAUCGAAAGGAAAAGAAUCUUUGUUGGUAGCUCCAGUGUAUCCCACUCCCCCAAGAUCGGUGUCUCUUUAGGGACACGGCUGUCCCCAGCAGACAUUCGGCAUGUGGGUGUUGUGAUACCAAGGGAAGGGCUGAUCCCUUCAGCUUCUCCUCACCCACCACAGACCGACCAGCCACUGAGCACUUGCUCUUCUUUCGUCUUGGUCUGGCUGGUGUAGUUCAGCAGACAGGAACCAUUCUGUCACCCUGGACCUCGUUAUUUGGAAGCCUCGGGUGCAGUGGACUGCAGAAGGGCUAGCCAUUAUUACCAGGCUCAUUUUUUGGACGGAAGAUAAGGGAGACAUUGAUUGACCAUCUUUACCAAGGUGUCACCACAAAUACGCAGAUGAGCUGUGCAUUGAGAGCUCAAGUUGUCAUGGCACAACAGCCUAGGACCUGACUGGCUUUCUGAAAUCUGCAUCUCUUCCAAAUGCUUAAUUAGGAGUAUGGCUGUCCCCGACUCCUGGUGGAGAAGACUGAGGGGGAUGGGCAGAGCUGGACUUACAGUUUGGUGCUCUGGGUCACAAUCAUGCUGCCUUUCUGGAAUUCAUUCAUUCAGCUGUAUUUAUUGAGCACCUGCUAUGUGCA